rnacentral:rRNA from 1 species
UGGCGGCAGGCCUAACACAUGCAAGUCGAGCGGAAACGAGUUAUCUGAACCUUCGGGGAACGAUAACGGCGUCGAGCGGCGGACGGGUGAGUAAUGCCUAGGAAAUUGCCCUGAUGUGGGGGAUAACCAUUGGAAACGAUGGCUAAUACCGCAUAAUGCCUACGGGCCAAAGAGGGGGACCUUCGGGCCUCUCGCGUCAGGAUAUGCCUAGGUGGGAUUAGCUAGUUGGUGAGGUAAUGGCUCACCAAGGCGACGAUCCCUAGCUGGUCUGAGAGGAUGAUCAGCCACACUGGAACUGAGACACGGUCCAGACUCCUACGGGAGGCAGCAGUGGGGAAUAUUGCACAAUGGGCGCAAGCCUGAUGCAGCCAUGCCGCGUGUGUGAAGAAGGCCUUCGGGUUGUAAAGCACUUUCAGUCGUGAGGAAGGUAGUGUAGUUAAUAGCUGCAUUAUUUGACGUUAGCGACAGAAGAAGCACCGGCUAACUCCGUGCCAGCAGCCGCGGUAAUACGGAGGGUGCGAGCGUUAAUCGGAAUUACUGGGCGUAAAGCGCAUGCAGGUGGUUUGUUAAGUCAGAUGUGAAAGCCCGGGGCUCAACCUCGGAAUUGCAUUUGAAACUGGCAGACUAGAGUACUGUAGAGGGGGGUAGAAUUUCAGGUGUAGCGGUGAAAUGCGUAGAGAUCUGAAGGAAUACCGGUGGCGAAGGCGGCCCCCUGGACAGAUACUGACACUCAGAUGCGAAAGCGUGGGGAGCAAACAGGAUUAGAUACCCUGGUAGUCCACGCCGUAAACGAUGUCUACUUGGAGGUUGUGGCCUUGAGCCGUGGCUUUCGGAGCUAACGCGUUAAGUAGACCGCCUGGGGAGUACGGUCGCAAGAUUAAAACUCAAAUGAAUUGACGGGGGCCCGCACAAGCGGUGGAGCAUGUGGUUUAAUUCGAUGCAACGCGAAGAACCU